AUAUUAAAGGAAGUUUUCGUUUUCAAGAAUUUUAAUUUAUACGUUUUUGCGAAAGAGGAUUUUGAAGUCUUCAAUUCAUAUUUAAGAAGUCAUUUUCGUUUUGCACAAUAAAUCUUGAUGUUUCAGAUGCCAGAUCGAUGCGAGGUGGUGGCUCAGCAAUAAACUCUCCGAGAAUGCAAAUUGCUUAUCAAAAAGGUCCAUCAGUCAUUCUGUCGAAUAAAAGGGGGCGCUGUUAUUGAGUUCCAAUUGGAAAUUUCAGAUGUUCUCCUAUUAAAAGCCAUCGACGCAUUGUUUGAUGUGUAGGAAAAACUACAAGGCAAUGAAUAUAAAGAGGAAAUGAUAUCUUACAUAUUCACAUUGGGCGCUCCGUCUGGAAAUAUUGAUGGGACGAUAAAAAAAUGUUUUCGGACGAAUUGUUAAUCAAUUUUAAUUGGGAUGACAGGUGUGGAAAGAGAGCGUUAAUGAAACUUAAGCUCAUUGACCGCAUCUUAUUUGAUAUUUUUAAACUCAAAGGCCGCGUCAAUUUCGAAAAAGAAGUAAAAACAGCGUUCGUGUCAGCCAUAAUAGGCAGAAGCAAAAAAAAGUAUGCCGCAAAAAACCUUCGCAACAGGAAGGCGAAUAGUUUGAAUUUCUUUCUUUUUAACUGCAUUUUCUUCAUAGUGGAUUUUAAUUUUAAGUUUUUAUGUGAAAAUUAGGAUCUUUUUAAUACUUCAUUGAUUUUUCUUGUAUAAUUUUUAUCUUAUAUAUUUACUUUCGGCUUUUUAAUGCUCGACGAAGAAGAAGUUGAUAUUUUAACGUUUUUAUGUAAAAAUUUAUAUAAUUAAUUUUAGUAUUUAAACUUUAUACUAUUGAAGUUUAUCGAGAAAGUCGAUAUUUUUGUUCUUAAAUUAAUAUGUCAAAGAUAUCAUAUGGUUCAGUUUAUUAUAUUAUUGUCUUCAAACAACUGAAGCUUCUAAGUCUUAUAAAGUGUGAUAUUUUAACGUUAAAUCAAGAAAUUCUAAUUUUUGAGAUCCCAAAAAUGUGAUUGAACUAAUGUUCAUUAUAUGUAUUAAUAUUCGACAAUAUUAAUAUCUCAAAGAUCUCGUUUUGUUACCGGAAGGCGAAUAGUUUUAAUGUCGUUCUAAUUAACUGAUUUUUUUCCUAGUGGAUUUUAAUUAUUAAUGUUUAUGUGAAAAUUAAGAGCUUUUUACUAUUGUAGUUCAUCGAUUUUUUGCAGUUUUUAUUUUAUGCUUACUUUUUCCUUUUUUUUUGAGUUUUUAUGUGAAAAUUUAGAUCAUUAAUUUUAGUCCUUAAACUUUUUUUAUUGAAGUUCAUCGAGAAAGUCGAUAUUUUUGUUCUCACAUUAAUGUAUCAAGAUAUCAUAUGGUUACAGUUCAUUAUAUUAAUGUUUUCAAACCACUGAAACU
rnacentral:lncRNA from 1 species